rnacentral:rRNA from 1 species
UUCUAUUACCAUUAUUAAUAGUAAAAUCUGCUCAAUGACCUUUAAAUAGCCGCUAUAUCGUGCUAAGGUAGCAUAAUCAUUCGCUUUUUAAUUGAAAGCUAGAACAAACGAUUUAACAAUUUAAUUAAUUUAAUUAAAUAAAAUUUUAAAUUUUUUUAAAAGUAAAAAAACCUUUAUAUUCAAGAAAGACGAUAAGACCCUAUUAAACUUAACUAAAGUUAAACUGGGGCAGUUAAAUAAAUAAAAUUUUAUUUUUUAUUAAAUAAUAAAAGACCUAUUCUAUAUAAAUAUAUAAUCAAGUUACUAUAGGGAUAACAGCGUAAUUCUUAUUAAAAGAUCUUAUUAAAAUAAGAGAUUGCGACCUCGAUGUUGAAUAAUAUUCUAUAAUAUCGCGCAAUAGCGAUAUAAGAAAGUCUGUUCGACUUUUAAAUAAUUACA